GGGCCCGCACAAGCGGAGGAGCAUGUGGUUUAAUUCGAUGAUACGCGAGGAACCUUACCUGGGCUAGAACCGAUACUGCCGAUAUGUGAAAGCAUAUCUUCCUACGGGACGGUAUUGGAGGUGCUGCAUGGUUGUCGUCAGCUCGUGCCGUGAGGUGUCGGAUUAAGUUCCAUAACGAGCGCAACCCCUACUGUUAGUUGCCAGCGAGUCAAGUCGGGGACUCUAGCAGGACUGCCGGCGCAAGCCGAGAGGAAGGUGGGGAUGACGUCAAAUCAGCACGGCCCUUAUGUCCAGGGCUACACACGUGCUACAAUGGUCGAUACAGAGGGCAGCUACUUGGCGACAAGAUGCGAAUCUCGAAAAUCGAUCUCAGUUCGGAUCGAAGUCUGCAACUCGACUUCGUGAAGUUGGAUUUCGCUAGUAAUCGCGCAUCAGCCAUGGCGCGGUGAAUACG
rnacentral:rRNA from 1 species